rfam:Canis lupus familiaris chromosome 21, whole genome shotgun sequence.
AGGAGGAACAGCCCCAGUGGCGGGGCAGCUCUGGAAACCUGGAUUCAGCUCCGGCAGGAACUCCGGAGCUCUCCGUCUUCAGGGUCUGGAGGCUCCGGGGCGGG